rnacentral:rRNA from 1 species
AACGAACGCUGGCGGCAGGCUUAACACAUGCAAGUCGAACGCCCCGCAAGGGGAGUGGCAGACGGGUGAGUAACGCGUGGGAAUCUACCGUACCCUACGGAACAACAGUUGGAAACGACUGCUAAUACCGUAUACGCCCUACGGGGGAAAGAUUUAUCGGGGUAUGAUGAGCCCGCGUUGGAUUAGCUAGUUGGUGGGGUAAAGGCCUACCAAGGCGACGAUCCAUAGCUGGUCUGAGAGGAUGAUCAGCCACAUUGGGACUGAGACACGCCCCAAACUCCUACGGGAGGCAGCAGUGGGGAAUAUUGGACAAUGGGCGCAAGCCUGAUCCAGCCAUGCCGCGUGAGUGAUGAAGGUCUUAGGAUUGUAAAGCUCUUUCACCGAUGAAGAUAAUGACGGUAGUCGGAGAAGAAGCCCCGGCUAACUUCGUGCCAGCCGCCGCAGUAA